rnacentral:lncRNA from 1 species
UUAUUAACAAUGGUUAUAAAAUUGUACAAUUUUUUAUUUAAUUUGUAUAUUUUUAAAGUAUUAUAAAUAUUUGUAAUAUAUAUUCAUUAAAAAAAAAGAGUAAUAAGUGUGUAUGUAUAUAUAUAUGUAUAUACAUUUUGAAUACACUUUGGUGUAAUAUUUUUAUUUUUUGUCAACUUUGAUCACCUUUUCUGUAUUUUCAAUUUUAGUUUGAUAAAAUGAGAACUUAUAAAUACUUUUUAUCAAUUAACUUUAUCAUAAAUUUAAUCAUCGUUUUUGAAAGUACACAUAAUAAUUGUUUAAGUGUUUUACUAAAAAAUAAAAUAGAUGUUAUAAAACGAAACAGAUGUUUAGGUAGUACAUAUUAUAGACUAAGUAAUGAUAACCAAAAUGGAGACUUGACUAGUGAUAUUUAUGAUAAAACGGUAGAAAAUGAAAAAGUUAAAACUGAGAAAGAAUGUCUUACUUUAACUCCUGGAGAAAAUGGAAAAUGUGAUAACAGAGCUGAUGGUGACACCUCUAGUGGUGAGCCUGAUAAAAAGCUUAAAACAAGUGAAAAAGAAAUUGAAAAAGAAAUUGAAAAAGAAAUUGAAAAAGAAAGUGAAAAGGAAAUUGAAAAGGAAAUUGAAAAAGGAGGUGAAAAAGAAAUUAAAAAAAAAAGUGAAGAAGAAAUCGAAGUACGUGGAGAAGAUGAAGAAAAUGGUGAAAGUGGAGAAAAUGAUGAAGGUGAAGAAGAUGGGGAAGAUGAAGAAGACUCGAAAGGUAUUGACCUUCUCGAUGAAAAUAAAAACCUUUGCUUAAAAAAUAAUGGAGAUUGUGGGGAAGACAAAGUUUGUGAGUAUUUAGGAGGCCUUAAUGUAAAAUGUUCAUGUAAAAAAGGAUAUAAGGUAGUAAAUUCAAAAUGUGUUGAAGCAAAAUCAUCUUCUUCAAAAUCUAUAAUUUCUUUGUUUAUACUUACAAAUAUAAUUAUAAGUAUAUUAGUAAGUUAAUUUUUUUAAUUUUUUAUUAUUUUUUUUUUUUUUGUACCAAUUUAAUCUAUACUACUUUAAUUUAUACCACUUUAAUUUACACCACUUUAAUUUAUACCACUUUAAUUUACACCACUUUAAUUUAUACCACUUUAAUUUACACCACUUUAAUUUAUACCACUUUAAUUUACACCACUUUAAUUUAUACCACUUUAAUUUACACCACUUU